GAUAAACGCUGGCGGCGUGCAUUAGACAUGCAAGUCGAACGAACGACCUCGGGCUUGCCCGGGGAAGUUAGUGGCGAACGGCUGAGUAACGCGUAGGUGACCUGCCCAGAAGUGGGGAAUAACUGCCCGAAAGGGUGGCUAAUACCGCAUACGGUCAUGAGUUCAUUCUCAUGUCCAAAGCCUUCGGGCGCUACUGGAGGGGCCUGCGUUCGAUUAGCUCGUUGGUGAGGUAACGGCUCACCAAGGCGACGAUCGAUAGGUGGUCUGAGAGGAUGAUCACCCAGACUGGGACUGAGACACGGCCCAGACUCCUACGGGAGGCAGCAGUCGGGAAUUUUGCUCAAUGGGGGAAACCCUGAAGCAGCAACGCCGCGUGAGGGAUGACGGCCUUCGGGUUGUAAACCUCUUUUGUCAGGGACGAUAAUGACGGUACCUGAAGAAUAAGCCACGGCUAACUACGUGCCAGCCGCCGCCGUAAUAC
rnacentral:rRNA from 1 species